rnacentral:rRNA from 1 species
UAAACUGCUUUUAUAAGUGAAGAAUAUGACGGUAACUUAUGAAUAAGCACCGGCUAACUACGUGCCAGCAGCCGCGGUCAUACGUAGGGUGCAAGCAUUAUCCGGAGUGACUGGGCGUAAAGAGUUGCGUAGGUGGUUUGUUAAGCGAAUAGUGAAAUCUGGGGGCUCAACCUCACAGACUAUUAUUCGAACUGGCAAACUCGAGAAUGGUAGAGGUAACUGGAAUUUCUUGUGUAGGAGUGAAAUCCGUAGAUAUAAGAAGGAACACCAAUGGCGUAGGCAGGUUACUGGACCAUUUCUGACACUGAGGCACGAAAGCGUGGGGAGCGAACGGGAUUAGAUACCCCGGUAGUCCACGCCGUAAACGAUGGAUACUAGCUGUUGGAGGUAUCGACCCCUCCAGUAGCGAAGCUAACGCGUUAAGUAUCCCGCCUGUGGAGUACGGUCGCAAGACUAAAACAUAAAGGAAUUGACGGGGACCCGCACAAGCGGUGGAUCAUGUUCUUUAAUUCGAUGAUAAACGAUGAACCUUACCAGGGCUUGAAAUCCCGAGAAUUAAUCCGAAAGGAUUGAGUGCUUUAUUGAACUCGGUGACAGGUGUUGCAUGGCCGUCGUCAGCUCGUGUCGUGAGAUGUUUGGUUAAGUCCAUUAACGAGCGCAACCCUUAUCAAUAGUUGGAUUUUUCUAUUGAGACUGCCCCGGCAACGGGGAGGAAGGAGGGGAUGAUGUCAGGUCAGUAUUACCCUUACGUCCUGGGCUAGAAACGUGAUACAAUGGCCGGUACAAUGCGCAGCGAAGCCGCGAGGUGAAGCAAAUCGCAUCAAAACCGGUCCCAGUUCGGAUUGGAGGCUGAAACUCGCCUCCAUGAAGUCGGAAUCG